rnacentral:rRNA from 1 species
CAGUCGACGGUACAGGGAGCUUGCUCCGCUGACGAGUGGCGAACGGGUGAGUAAUAUAUCGGAACGUACCCAAGAGUGGGGGAUAACGUAGCGAAAGUUACGCUAAUACCGCAUACGAUCUAAGGAUGAAAGCAGGGGAUCUUCGGACCUUGUGCUCCUGGAGCGGCCGAUAUCUGAUUAGCUAGUUGGUGAGGUAAAGGCUCACCAAGGCGACGAUCAGUAGCUGGUCUGAGAGGACGACCAGCCACACUGGAACUGAGACACGGUCCAGACUCCUACGGGAGGCAGCAGUGGGGAAUUUUGGACAAUGGGCGCAAGCCUGAUCCAGCAAUGCCGCGUGAGUGAAGAAGGCCUUCGGGUUGUAAAGCUCUUUUGUCAGGGAAGAAACGGGAGUGGCUAAUAUCCAUUCCUAAUGACGGUACCUGAAGAAUAAGCACCGGCUAACUACGUGCCAGCAGCCGCGGUAAUACGUAGGGUGCAAGCGUUAAUCGGAAUUACUGGGCGUAAAGCGUGCGCAGGCGGUUUUGUAAGUCUGUCGUGAAAUCCCCGGGCUCAACCUGGGAAUUGCGAUGGAGACUGCAAGGCUAGAAUCUGGCAGAGGGGGGUAGAAUUCCACGUGUAGCAGUGAAAUGCGUAGAGAUGUGGAGGAACACCGAUGGCGAAGGCAGCCCCCUGGGUCAAGAUUGACGCUCAUGCACGAAAGCGUGGGGAGCAAACAGGAUUAGAUACCCUGGUAGUCCACGCCCUAAACGAUGUCUACUAGUUGUCGGGUUUUAAUUAACUUGGUAACGCAGCUAACGCGUGAAGUAGACCGCCUGGGGAGUACGGUCGCAAGAUUAAAACUCAAAGGAAUUGACGGGGACCCGCACAAGCGGUGGAUGAUGUGGAUUAAUUCGAUGCAACGCGAAAAACCUUACCUACCCUUGACAUGUACGGAAGCCACGAAAGAUCGAGGUGUGCUCGAAAGAGAGCCGUAACACAGGUGCUGCAUGGCUGUCGUCAGCUCGUGUCCUGGAGAUGUUGGGGUUAAGUCCCCGCAAC